rnacentral:lncRNA from 10 species
UUUAAGGACUUCUGCUCAUUUCACAGAGGAUACCUGAGCUAAGUUGGGGAUUCCCAUAAGAAGAAAAGGCCUGUUUACAGAGAUGCCAUCUAAACUGAGACCUGUAGGAGAAGAAGACCAUGCAAACUAUAGAGGGGAAGAGGAAGAGUAAUCCUGACAGAAGGAAUAGCACGUCGGAAAUCCUCGAUGUGGAACAGAACACAGAACCUUCAAGAAACAUAAAGACAAUGGCAGAGUAUGGGAGAGAGAAAUUUGGAAAGCUACAUAAGCAUCCUGCCAUGUAGAAGAGAGGUCUCAGGCCUGGAUCUUGGUUAAAGCUAUGUAUGUGUUUUCUUAAUUUAGUUGCCAAAAGUUGAAAAGUAAAAGAUAUCAUAUAAAAACAUCUGGAUUUUGAAAAAAUUUAAAAUGUCUGUCAGCAAUGGACCUGUAUUCUUAAUGGGACAACAAUCAGCUGGAUCUACCCACUUGAGACAAGACCUGUGACCUCAUGUUCACCACUGCACCAACCGUCUUUUCAAUUCAUUCAUUUUGCCUAUUUGGCCUCUAUAUGCAUUUGAAUUUCUAGUUCCUAAUUUAGGACCUUAUUGGUUAUGGCUUUUUAAAAGUGGA